AUGCCUGCGCCGCCGCUCCGGACCGUGCACCUGCGCCGGUCUCCCUCGCCGCCCGACGACGCGCCAGAGUCGGCGGCCAUCGCCGUCGACGGAGGCGGCGGGGUGGACCUCGCCCUGGUGGGCCGCGCGCUGGGGCUGGACCCCGCCAGCGUCCGCCUCAACGGCUACUUCGUCAGCCGCGGCCCCGGCCACGUCUCCACGGCGGUCACCUGGGGCGCGCUCCUCGCCUUCUUCGCCGCGCGCGGGCUCCCCACCGGCGCCGACCCCACCGCGCCCGUCGCCGUCCGCGGCAGGCCCGCGCCUUCGCCCCCACGCCCAGAUCCUGGAGUUCUUCAGUCCUCCAAGCGUAAGUCUGGGUUGGAGACAGAAAAUUGUUCCAAGAAGAGCAAGCUCCAACACAACAGCUCAGCUCUUUCAAAAUCUAGCGAGGAGCUACUUAGUGAUGAGAUCACCCUUGGUUUGAAGAGAAGACUCAGAUUGGACGACAUGACUCCAUCUAAGAGGAUCAAACAAGUAGACUACAACUCAGAAACACAACAGCCAGUAAAAUUCUCCUGCAGCUUCAUGAACGGGCACGGAAAGCGGACACGAGAUGAGGAGAUGGUCACCUCACUCCCAUGCAAGAGAGUCCGGUGA
rnacentral:rRNA from 1 species